rnacentral:rRNA from 1 species
GAAGCAACAAAUGCCCUGCUUCCAGGAAAAGCCUCUAAGCAUCAGGUAACAUCAAAUCGUACCCCAAACCGACACAGGUGGUCAGGUAGAGAAUACCAAGGCGCUUGAGAGAACUCGGGUGAAGGAACUAGGCAAAAUGGUGCCGUAACUUCGGGAGAAGGCACGCUGAUAUGUAGGUGAAGCGACUUGCUCGUGGAGCUGAAAUCAGUCGAAGAUACCAGCUGGCUGCAACUGUUUAUUAAAAACACAGCACUGUGCAAACACGAAAGUGGACGUAUACGGUGUGACGCCUGCCCGGUGCCGGAAGGUUAAUUGAUGGGGUUAGCGGUAACGCGAAGCUCUUGAUCGAAGCCCCGGUAAACGGCGGCCGUAACUAUAACGGUCCUAAGGUAGCGAAAUUCCUUGUCGGGUAAGUUCCGACCUGCACGAAUGGCGUAAUGAUGGCCAGGCUGUCUCCACCCGAGACUCAGUGAAAUUGAACUCGCUGUGAAGAUGCAGUGUACCCGCGGCAAGACGGAAAGACCCCGUGAACCUUUACUAUAGCUUGACACUGAACAUUGAGCCUUGAUGUGUAGGAUAGGUGGGAGGCUUUGAAGUGUGGACGCCAGUCUGCAUGGAGCCGACCUUGAAAUACCACCCUUUAAUGUUUGAUGUUCUAACGUUGGCCCGUUAUCCGGGUUGCGGACAGUGUCUGGUGGGUAGUUUGACUGGGGCGGUCUCCUCCUAAAGAGUAACGGAGGAGCACGAAGGUUGGCUAAUCCUGGUCGGACAUCAGGAGGUUAGUGCAAUGGCAUAAGCCAGCUUGACUGCGAGCGUGACGGCGCGAGCAGGUGCGAAAGCAGGUCAUAGUGAUCCGGUGGUUCUGAAUGGAAGGGCCAUCGCUCAACGGAUAAAAGGUACUCCGGGGAUAACAGGCUGAUACCGCCCAAGAGUUCAUAUCGACGGCGGUGUUUGGCACCUCGAUGUCGGCUCAUCACAUCCUGGGGCUGAAGUAGGUCCCAAGGGUAUGGCUGUUCGCCAUUUAAAGUGGUACGCGAGCUGGGUUUAGAACGUCGUGAGACAGUUCGGUCCCUAUCUGCCGUGGGCGCUGGAGAACUGAGGGGGGCUGCUCCUAGUACGAGAGGACCGGAGUGGACGCAUCACUGGUGUUCGGGUUGUCAUGCCAAUGGCACUGCCCGGUAGCUAAAUGCGGAAGAGAUAAGUGCUGAAAGCAUCUAAGCACGAAACUUGCC